rnacentral:rRNA from 1 species
GACGAACGCUGGCGGCGUGCCUAAUACAUGCAAGUCGAACGCUGAAGGAGGAGCUUGCUUCUCUGGAUGAGUUGCGAACGGGUGAGUAACGCGUAGGUAACCUGCCUGGUAGCGGGGGAUAACUAUUGGAAACGAUAGCUAAUACCGCAUAAUAGUAGAUGUUGCAUGACAUUUGCUUAAAAGGUGCAAUUGCAUCACUACCAGAUGGACCUGCGUUGUAUUAGCUAGUUGGUGGGGUAACGGCUCACCAAGGCGACGAUACAUAGCCGACCUGAGAGGGUGAUCGGCCACACUGGGACUGAGACACGGCCCAGACUCCUACGGGAGGCAGCAGUAGGGAAUCUUCGGCAAUGGACGGAAGUCUGACCGAGCAACGCCGCGUGAGUGAAGAAGGUUUUCGGAUCGUAAAGCUCGGUUGUAAGAGAAGAACGAGUGUGAGAGUGGAAAGUUCACACUGUGACGGUAGCUUACCAGAAAGGGACGGCUAACUACGUG